AUGCUCUUAGCCAAGUUGGUCAAGGCACUUGUCUGAUACACAAGUAAUCGGGGGUUCGAGUCCCCCAGAGCAUA
rnacentral:tRNA from 1 species